UUAAAUAGAAGAUAAUAAAAGAAUAGUUCAAAUGCAUAUACUUGCAAUGAACUUCAAAACGGGAAUAAAUCUCGUAUAAUACAUCAACAAAAAAUGCAAAUAUUUCAAGGUGCAUGCUAGAAAUUAACUUUACAAAAGCAAAUGUAUCACUAUAGUAUCAGAAAUAACAAAAAUCAAAAUUGUCCAAAGUCUUCAUCAAAUUGUCUUUUGGCCACCAUUUCCAAUUGCUCACCAGAAUUUCCUACAGAAUCAAAAUAAAAUUAAUAAUUAGAUAGAAUUCAUUAGUAUGUAAGUGCAAACUCAAAGCAAUGUGGCAGAGUUUGCCCCUUGGAAAUUUAAGUACCAAGCAGUAUUCAAUGAAUAGAUGUCUGCUAUAAAUAUAAGGCUUAAGCAUCAUUCCAUCUUUUUUCCCUUAUCAUAAACUGAAUUUGUUCCUUUAGUUCAGGCAAAUUCUCCAUUCAUUUAUGAUCUUUAAAGUCAUGUGAAGACCAAAACGAAUUAGUAUGCAGUUCUAGCUUCUGUUGAGGAAAGCUAAAGUUAUAAAUCAAUUUCUUACACAUAAAUGGUCCAGCAAUUUCUAUUAUGUCUUAGUUUAAUAUGUAUAAUAUUCAUGCAUUUGGUCAAGUAAGCAUAAACUGUAGAAAAUAAACAUAAUUACUUUUCUUGAAGUCUCCACCUUAAACUUUUUAUCGUGCACUUUCAUUAAGAAGAAUCUAAACUACAAAUUACCUAGUUUAACCGCACAAUAAUAAUGACUCCAAUCAUUAUCAAAUACCUCAUACACUACAUUAUGAAUAUGGUAAUCACAAGAAAGGAGCAUAAUUUCAUACAGUAUGAAACAUACAACAUCAUAAUGAAGUUGAACAGGUGUUAUGAUGGAGCACUGAUUUUUAAGAAAAUAACUAUUUAGUAAAAUCUCAAUUUUAGGUUCAACAGUAGUAUAUAUUUCAUAAUUCUACUGGCUAGAAUAAAAAAAGAUAUUGCUUUCCGAAUCCGAUAUGCUUUAGACAAUCGUAUGACAGGAUAGAAGCAUAUAUUGCUUACCUAACGUAGAGUACAUUUCUCUGCUUUGUGCUCUCGACUAAAUUUACCAAUAUCCAUUUCUUCUGUACGUGGAUGUAGAACCAACAACCUAGAAUUCAAUACUAAAUAAAGUAAAAAAAUAUUAUUGAACAUACAUCAAAGAACCAAGAUGGCAAUAGGGAAAAAACAAUUUAACAAAGAAUAGUCUGAAACUUAGGACAAUCAUUAAGUUCGUAACAAUUAAACAAAUUGUCUUCUACUAAAAGCUUGUAGGGCAGGAGUUUAGCUUGUUCAAAAUUAUGACACAAAUAUUUUUAACUUAAGCAUGCACUCCAAAAUCUGCAAUAGUGACUGGCGUCUUGUCAAUUUUCUCAAGAAUUCUGCCAUUACUAGAGAGAACACCCGACUUCACCUAGCAAUCUUAAAGAAACUGAUGGAAUCAUAUAUUAGCAAUGUUAGGAAGAUGUAAUUAAAUAGUUGAAGUAUUACAAAGAAACUGAAAUAACUGAGAUGGAAGAUUAUACCUGAAAAUGAAAGCUUUGUUCGCCUCACCAAAGAUAUUUGCUACAUAAACCAAGCAGUAAAAUGGAAACAAUAUUAUUCUUUUCAACAGUUUUUUACAAUCAAAUUUUCGAGGCACAAAGUUUAUUCUUUACCAGGCAUUAAACUAGAUACGCAAGUGAAAUAUUAAAAAAUGAAAGUAAAAUAUUUAGGUCGUGAAAAUGAUCAUGACAUCAAAAUCUUGAAAACGUUAUACUGUACUAUAGGUUAUUAAAGUAACAAAACAUUAAGCUUUCACCUUGGUUUAGCAAGAUUUUAAAGUACAGGCGUGAAUUGGAAUGGCAUGCGAUAAAAAGGGUGUUUGAAUAUUAAGAAUUAGUAAAGUAUUUGAAUUUAUGAUUUUGUCCCUAACUCCCAAAUAACUCAAAAUAUGAUCAUAAACUCCAUCGGCAUGGUAUUGUAGAAGCAAUUUGGAAAAUGACAGAAGCAAAUUAAAUACACUCCACAAAUUUUGGAGCCACUAUCACAUAAGAACCAAAGAAGAAAGCAUGUUCCUGUGGAAAUACUAACGAACUAUACUACUCAAUUUAGAGUUGAGGCUUUCAUUACACAUUUAGAUUAUUACAACUCAAUACACAAUUAGUUCCUAAAGUAGCUUAUAUAUAUUAUGGAACAAAAGUGCACAUCACUAAGUAAAGGAUAUGCACGCCAAGAUUAUGUACUUAAUAGUAUUUGCACCCCCCACAUUCUAAUGCAACUGAAGAAAAACUAAUGGAAUAGAGAGUUGCAUGGUAAGAAGGCUCUCUAAAUCAUGACUUUUGAUGUAUUCCGUGAGUUUUUUUCAUCACAAAAAACCUUAUAUAUAUUUCCGAAAUAAGAUUAUCAAAGGAUUCUGCGCAAACCUUUAACUAAACAAAUCGCAAAGCUCUCAACUAAAUAAGCAAAUGAAUUUCAGAGAAAUUUCGAAGAAGCCAUUAAACAAAAAAAAGAAAUUGUAGAAUUUCAGAGAAGCCAAAUCGCAAAGUUAUUAAACUGACACCAAAACUUUCAUAGAAAUCUUACACAAGCUUUCGAAAAAUGAAGAUCAACAACGACUGUAAGCCCAAAAAUCAAAAUUCCCAAUUGCAACUGAUGGCCGCAGAACCCAGACGAAAAGAGAGCUUUGACUUUUUAGAAGAGAGACUAGAUGAGAUGUAGCGCCUCCAUCAGAGAUUUCCACAAAACCCACACUAAUUUGCUUCCUAGUUACAAGAAGAGCCAAAUUUUAGAGAAGAGGGAGGAUGGGAUCUAUUGUAGAGGUGGUAAAACCUGGAAAGAGCGGGAUAUUUUAGGGCAAAAUAAUUCGGCCAAAUACAGAGAGUUGCUUUUAUUAAUAUAAACAAGCACGCCUAAAAGUGUUGCAUUACAUGUGAAUAAGCGUGGUUAAUU
rnacentral:lncRNA from 1 species